rnacentral:rRNA from 1 species
AUUGAACGCUGGCGGCAUGCCUUACACAUGCAAGUCGAACGGUAACAGGUUAAGCUGACGAGUGGCGAACGGGUGAGUAAUGUAUCGGAACGUGCCCAGUCGUGGGGGAUAACUGCUCGAAAGAGCAGCUAAUACCGCAUACGACCUGAGGGUGAAAGCGGGGGAUCGCAAGACCUCGCGCGAUUGGAGCGGCCGAUAUCAGAUUAGGUAGUUGGUGAGGUAAAGGCUCACCAAGCCGACGAUCUGUAGCUGGCCUGAGAGGACGACCAGCCACACUGGGACUGAGACACGGCCCAGACUCCUACGGGAGGCAGCAGUGGGGAAUUUUGGACAAUGGGCGCAAGCCUGAUCCAGCCAUGCCGCGUGCGGGAAGAAGGCCUUCGGGUUGUAAACCGCUUUUGUCAGGGAAGAAAAGGUUCUGGCUAAUACCUGGGACUCAUGACGGUACCUGAAGAAUAAGCACCGGCUAACUACGUG